rnacentral:lncRNA from 1 species
GACAAGACAGCUAAUCCAGGAGGGAGGCCUGAGAGAGAUGAAGACGUCGAGUCUAGAUAUGAAUUAGUAGUGAGUAUAUUAUUUGAAGAAAUGUUGAACAGCUAGGCAAAUAUUUGAUACCUUUGAAUUGGAGCCUACGUUUUUCACAGGCAGAGCAGCGUCAGCAGCUGCUUGAGACAUCUCGCUUCCUCGAAUGUACCUGGCUGUCACACCCAGUUCUGUGGGCCACCUCUUGCUGCAUACUCAGAGGAAACUGGGGCCGAGAAGUCAGGGGUGCCUGGGACCCUCUAGCCUGACUCCAGACCGGGAAACUGAAGCCCCGAGGAGUCACAGGCACUCCAGGAGUCCAAGAGGAAGAUGGAGGAAGAAAGCCAGAGAAAGUGAGGAGGGCGGUUCCUGCUGUAGCCUUUAAGGAGCUAAAGCGUUCUCUGAAACAAUGUGGAAUAAGCUGUCCUUCUGAGGGCAGAUCAUCUAUUGCCAUUUCAACUCUUUUAUGGUUCUUUAUCUGCUAACAAGUUUCUACCUAUUAUUGAGCCAACCUGGAUAAUGUAUGUUUUUCUAGAAAUUAUUCUUUUUAUUUUUUGGUUCUGAGGAUUGAACCAUGGUCUUGCACUUCCCAUACGCUCUUUCACUGAUCACUUCCCAUACGCUCUUUCACUGAUCUAUACUCCUAGCCCCUGUAACUACUUUCUUAUUUCUCAUAAUGUUUUUGCUUUUUUCCUUUCCUUUGAAAAAGAAAGGACUCCCUUGAGGGGAGUCCAUGUAAUUAAUUGUUUUUUUAAUAAAGCAUCAUAUUUGGGUUUAUUUAUAUUAUUUUGUUUUCUGUCUCAUUAUAUUCAACAUUUACUUUUAUUAAUUCCCUCCUACUGUGUGUCCUUUUGUAUUAUUUUAAUUUCCUAAGUUAAACACAUAAAUGGAAUUUUCUCAUUUUAUUUUUAAUGACAAAUAAUUUAUGUACUGUAAAUUUUCCUCUGAUUGCAGCUUUAUCUGUGUCCCUUAGGUUUUGAUGUAGUUCCUUUGUGAUUCCUUAAUGAUUUGGGGGGAAGAUCAUUUUUUUUUUAAACUCUUGCCUUCUGUUUUUGCUGAGACAUGAUCAGAGACUAUGACAUGUAGAAUCUUGAUUUUACUGAGACUGUCUAAAGUUUUGCUUGUGGACAAGAACAUGCUUGAUGUCGGGGAACAUAAGAGAAGAAAGGAUAUUCUCUGCUUACAGAGUAAAACCUAUAACAAUUAAACUAAGCUCCUAACUCAACUGUUCAAAUCUUGUCUACUAAGAUCUUCUGUUUUCUGGAAGACAUAGGACAUCAUCAUUAUCCAAGAACACUUGUACUAGAAGAAAACAUUUUAUAGUGAAUCUACUGAAGGAAGGGCAAAAUUUCAUUCAUAAGGCAAAAAGACUUUACUGCUAUUAUAUACUGAGAAGUAAAACUAAAUAUUAUAAAAAGUAAUUAUCCAAUAUUACUGAAAUUUAGGUUAAAAUGUAAAAAUGUAACAAUUUUU